rnacentral:rRNA from 1 species
AGAGUUUGAUCCUGGCUCAGAUUGAACGCUGGCGGCAUGCCUAAUACAUGCAAGUCGAACGGAAACGAUGGGAGCUUGCUCCCAGGCGUCGAGUGGCGGACGGGUGAGUAAUACUUAGGAAUCUGCCCAUUAGUGGGGGACAACUCGAGGAAACUCGAGCUAAUACCGCAUACGCCCUACGGGGGAAAGCGGGGGAUCUUCGGACCUCGCGCUAAUGGAUGAGCCUAAGUCGGAUUAGCUUGUUGGUGAGGUAAAGGCUCACCAAGGCGACGAUCCGUAGCUGGUCUGAGAGGACGAUCAGCCACACUGGGACUGAGACACGGCCCAGACUCCUACGGGAGGCAGCAGUAGGGAAUAUUGGACAAUGGGGGCAACCCUGAUCCAGCAAUGCCGCGUGUGUGAAGAAGGCCUGCGGGUUGUAAAGCACUUUCAGUAGAGAAGAAAAGCUUACGGUUAAUAACUGUGAGUCUUGACGUUACCUACAGAAGAAGCUCCGGCUAACUCCGUGCCAGCAGCCGCGGUAAUACGGAGGGAGCGAGCGUUAAUCGGAAUUACUGGGCGUAAAGCGCGCGUAGGCGGCUUAGUAAGUCGGAUGUGAAAGCCCUGGGCUUAACCUGGGAAUGGCAUUCGAUACUGCUUAGCUAGAGUAUGGUAGAGGGAAGUGGAAUUUCCGGUGUAGCGGUGAAAUGCGUAGAUAUCGGACGGAACACCAGUGGCGA